rnacentral:lncRNA from 1 species
UUCUGAUUCUUGUAAAAAUAUUUUGUAUGUGUGAAUGCAUACUGAAUGUAAAGUGGAUAAAAAACUCACACUUGCACUCAUGGAAGGCUUUUCAUGAAUUUGUCAAUUUUUAUUUUUUAUAUUUCCCCACUUCACCGGAUAAUGCAUACCUGAACCUGGAAACUGAUUCCCACUGCAGAAAGUGUUCUGAGCCACAUCCCUUAGCUUCACUAGUGCAGGUCCACCUGGGAGGAUGUCCCAGCAUCAGCUUGGCCCAUGCUGUGAUCAGCCACCUCCAUGCACCACACCAAAGCAAGCCCCUGGGUGAUUCACAGUCUCCACCACCAGGGCACUGACCUUAACUGUGUGUUCUUCCUAGCUCCCCAUGAAGACACCGUACACGACAUCACUAACGAGGACGCCACACACGACAUCGCCAACGAGGACACUGUACAUGACACCGCUAACGAGGCGCCGACAAGGGCAUCGCCAGCGAGGACGCUGCCCAGGGCAUCGCCAACGUGGUCGCCGUCCACGGCAUCGCCAACGUGGUCGCCGCCCAGGGCAUCGCCAACGAGGACGCCGCCCAGGGCAUCGCCAGCGAGGACGCCGCCCACGGAAUCGCCAGCGAGGACGCCGCCCACGGAAUCGCCAACGAGGAGCCGCCCAGGGCAUCGCCAACGAGGACGCCGCCCAGGGCAUCGCCAACGAGGAUGCCGCCCACGGAAUCGCCAACGAGGACGCCGCCCAGGCAUCGCCAACGUGGGUCGCCGCCCAGGGCCAUCGCCAACGUGGGUCGCCGCCCAGGGCAUCGCCAACGAGGACGCCGCCCAGGGCAUCGCCAUCGCUAAUGAGGAUGCCAUAUAUGACAUCGCUAAUGACACCGUACAAGGCAUGCUAACGAGGACAUCGUACAAGCCGUCGCUAACAAGUACACUGUACACAACAUCGCUAAUGAGGGCACUGUACAAGACAUCACCAAUGAGGACGCUUUAUACGACAUUGCUAAUGGCACCGACAAGGCACGCUAACGUGGACGCUGUACACGACAUUGCUAAUGAGGACACCGUAUAAGACAUCGCUAGUAACUAUCGCAAGAACAAAAAACCAAACACCGCAUAUUCUCACUCAUAGGUGGGAAUUGAACAAUGAGAUCACAUGGACACAGGAAGGGGAAUAUCACACUCUGGGGACUGUUGUGGGGUGGGGGGGGGGGAGGGAUAGCAUCGGGAGAUAUACCUAAUGCUAGAUGAUGAGUUAGUGGGUGCAGCGCACCAGCAUGGCACAUGUAUACAUAUGUAACUAACCUGCACAAUGUGCACAUGUACCCUAAAACUUAAAGUAUAUAUAUAAAAAAAGACAUCGCUAGUGAGCACGCUGUAUACGACAUCGCUAAUGAGGACACUAUAUAUGACAUCGCUGAUGAGGACAUUGUAUACGACAUCACUAAUGAGGACACCAUACAAGGCAUCGCUAACGAUGACGCUGUACACAACAUCGCUAAUGAUGACACCGUAUAAGACAUCGCUAAUUAUGACGCUGUAUACGACAUUGCUAAUGACACCGUACAAGGCACGCUAACGAGGAUGCUGUACACGACAUCACUAAUGAGGACAGUGUACAAGCCAUCGCUAAUGAGGACACUGUAUAUGACAUCGCUAACGAGGACACUGUACAAGGCAUUGCUAACGAGGACACUGUACACAACAUCGCUAAUGAGGACACCAUAUAAGACAUCACCAAUGAGGAUGCUGUAUAUGACAUCGCUAAUGACACCCACAAGGCAUGCUAACGAGGACGCUGUAGACGACAUUGCUUAUAAGGAACACCGUACAAGACAUCGCUAACCAGGACGCUGUAUACGACAUCGCUAAUGAGGACGUUGUAUAUGACAUCGCUAAUGAGGAUGCUUUACAAGACAUAGAUAAUGAGGUUGCUGUAUAUGACAUCGCUAAUGAGGACAUUGUAUAUGACAUCGCUAAUGAGGACGCUCUAUACGACAUCACUAAUGAGGACACUGUAUACAACAUCACUAAUGAGGACGCUGUAUAUGGCAUCGCUAAUGAGGAUGCUGUAUACGAAUUCACUAAUAAGGACGCUGUAAUAUGACAUUGCUAAUGAGGACACUGUACAAGACAUCUGUAAAAAAGAAGAUGCUGCCAAUGAGCCAUUGACAUUGGGAGAAUGAUACGUACCCUGAAAUAACUCACUUCCUGAGGAAAAAGCGCCAUCUCCAGGGUACAGAAACCUGAUUCUGGGCUCCUUUUGGGAAGGAGGAUUUGGGGUCUGGUGAGAGCAAAUGAUUUGCAAGUUAAUAAACAAUGUCCAGAGAGGCUGUAGGGAUAUCUGUGAGCCCAGAGGAAACACCAGGGGAUCCUGUGCGAAGCACCCAUGGCUUCAGCUAGGGUGGGGAGGAGUGGGUGGGCCUCUCUCUAAUGACUUAUCCUGGUGUUUGUGUUUCUAAAGAUUUGAUUGGUGGAGAGCAUAUCUGAUGAUGGGGAUUUGUAGGUAGGUAACUACUUUCCAACGUAAGAUCCAAUUGGAGAGAGUUCCCAGGGGCCCUUCGGGGUAUCCAUGCUGCUUGGGAGGUUAAGGGAGGGGCAUGAAAUCAAAAACGAAACAGGAAAUAUGUGUCAUAUUGGAUUUGGUCUUUUCCGGGUUUAUUGGCAUAAUAGUUAGAACUGUCUCUCUGGGCUAUGAGGUGCUGUGUUAUUUAAAGGUGGUCUUUCCCAGAACACCUGGCCUUUUCUUUUCUGCCUCUGCCAAACAUCACAGCCUUUGGGUUGGAUUAGUCAGCACCCCUUGGGAUUGUGCAGAAGAGGUUUGGGGUUGCAUCGAGUGUCACCUGUGGUGAACAGAAUCUGAGGGACACAACUCUCUCACAGGCACUUCCUUCAACCUGGAGACAGAGUUCUCCUGGUGUGUGCCCAGGGGUGCAGGAGAAAUUGACAGUCUGCCUCUGAACUUUCAGGACUUUAAAAAGCACUCAUGUUUCCAUCCUCACUGUUGACUCCUGGCUUAAAGGGAGCUCCUGGGGUGAGUGAGGAGGCGGGAUCGGACCCUGGCAGUCCUAUCGGCAGCACCUGUGUUCCUCUGCACUGGGCCGUGGAUGACAAUUACAACACCUUUGCCACUCCCACGGUCCUGUGUGUUCCGGAUAUUUUAAAAUAAUGGCUAUAUAAGGUUGAGCACUUCAGGAUAUGCUGU